AGCAGUCGUGGGAGGAGCUGGCUCUUUCAUGGCUUCCUCUUUGCCCUCGUCCUCAUCCAAGAAGGAGAGAUUAGCUUCAAAAAAUCAGACAGCGAUCAGGUGGCGACAAUCUUCGAAUCCGAUCCUAUGCCCCUCAUUACAGAACUCUUGAUCGAAUGCGACCAAGGCAUCAUGAUACUCCUCUGAUGCUUUGAAGUUAUCGACCGUCUGAGCCAUCUCUUGCUCAAAAUUCUUUAAAGCAUUGAAGGACUCCA
rnacentral:lncRNA from 1 species